GUGGGGAAUCUUCCGCAAUGGACGAAAGUCUGACGGAGCAACGCCGCGUGAGUGAAGAAGGUCUUCGGAUCGUAAAGCUCUGUUGUACGGGACGAAUGUUGGAGGCGUGAAUAAUGCCAUCAAAUGACGGUACUGUACGAGGAAGCCACGGCUAACUACGUGCCAGCAGCCGCGGUAAUACGUAGGUGGCGAGCGUUGUCCGGAAUUAUUGGGCGUAAAGGGAGCGCAGGUGGGAAGGUAAGUCUGUUUUAAAAGCGUCGGGCUCAACCCGAUGAGGGAACAGAAACUAUUUUUCUUGAGUGCAGGAGAGGAAAGCGGAAUUCCUAGUGUAGCGGUGAAAUGCGUAGAUAUUAGGAGGAACACCAGUGGCGAAGGCGGCUUUCUGGACUGUAACUGACACUGAGGCUCGAAAGCCAGGGGAGCGAACGGGAUUAGAAACCCCAGUAGUCC
rnacentral:rRNA from 1 species